rnacentral:rRNA from 1 species
GACGAACGCUGGCGGCGUGCUUCACACAUGCAAGUCGAACGGAGUGGCGAACGGGUGAGUAACACGUGGGUGAUCUGCCUUGCACUUCGGGAUAAGCUUGGGAAACUGGGUCUAAUACCGGAUAGUGCAAGAUGAGCUCGCGGCCUAUCAGCUUGUUGGUGGGGUAAUGGCCUACCAAGGCGUCGACGGGUAGCCGGCCUGAGAGGGUGUACGGCCACAUUGCGACUGAGAUACUGCCCAGACUCCGACGGGAGGCAGCAGUGGGGAAUAUUGCACAAUGGGCGGAAGCCGGAUGCAGCGACGCCGCGUGGGGGGUGAAGGCCUUCGGGUUGUAAACGCCUAUCGACAGGGACGGGGUACCUGUAUAAGAAGCACCGGCUAACUACGUGCCAGCAGCCGCGGUAAUUC